rnacentral:rRNA from 1 species
UAGGGAAUCUUCGGCAAUGGGGGGAACCCUGACCGAGCAACGCCGCGUGAGUGAAGAAGGUUUUCGGAUCGUAAAGCUCUGUUGUUAAGGAAGAACGAGUGUGAGAAUGGAAAGUUCAUACUGUGACGGUACUUAACCAGAAAGGGACGGCUAACUACGUGCCAGCAGCCGCGGUAAUACGUAGGUCCCGAGCGUUGUCCGGAUUUAUUGGGCGUAAAGCGAGCGCAGGCGGUUAGAAAAGUCUGAAGUGAAAGGCAGUGGCUCAACCAUUGUAGGCUUUGGAAACUGUUUAACUUGAGUGCAGAAGGGGAGAGUGGAAUUCCAUGUGUAGCGGUGAAAUGCGUAGAUAUAUGGAGGAACACCGGUGGCGAAAGCGGCUCUCUGGUCUGUAACUGACGCUGAGGCUCGAAAGCGUGGGGAGCGAACAGGAUUAGAUACCCUGGUAGUCCACGCCGUAAACGAUGAGUGCUAGGUGUUGGGUCCUUUCCGGGGCUCAGUGCCGCAGCUAACGCAUUAAGCACUCCGCCUGGGGAGUACGACCGCAAGGUU